AUAUUCGAUCAAUAACCAUUUUCGUUACUUCGGCAGGGGAUAGAUGACAAAGUCCUUAUUGAGAUUUUCCUUGAAGGAGGCAGUGAAUUUACAGCAAUUGUCCUUGAUGUAGGUUCUGGUUUUGAUUGUCAGCCCGUUGUAUUAUUGCCAACAGAGGUGGAGCUUCAAUCGCAUGGCACUGUUGAUGUUGGGGAGAAAGACGCAAUAUUUAACUAUCGACGGAAGUAUCUCCCUACUCGACAGGUUGCUUAUUACACUCCACCUAGAUUCUCUAUGGAUGUGAUUUCAAAGAUCCGUGAAGGAGCUUCAUUACUAUUUCUGCGACUUGGGUUGCGUGAUUUUGCUAGAAUUGAUGGUUGGCUUUUGCCGCCUUCUACAAAAGCUUUCACUGCUGCAGGAAACAAAUUUGGAAGGACUGAUUCUGGCACAGUA